GAAAACCGUCCUACGGACAGGAAGAACACUGCCGCGCCCGCCAGCUGGGAGGAAAAUGAGAAGGCAGGGCACACUUCAAACACAAAAGCCUCACGCAUCCCAUCCAGCACCGACUGUGGUGGUUUAAAGACCAAACGUGCCCCACAGGCUCCGGCAUUUGAACACCAGUGGGUUGGCGGAGCCGCUUGGGGAAAUCUAGGGGGCGUGGCCUCGCUGGAGGAAGUACGUCCUUGGAGGUGGGCUUUGAGGUUUCAAAGCCCCUGAGCCACUUCCGGCGCUCCUGCUCUCUUUGCUUCCAUGCUAGCACUUGGGCUGGGAGCUCUGGGCUCCCCGCCGUGCCAGAGUCCAACCCUCUGGAACUGGAAGUCUAAACCAAACUCUUGUCUUCAGGUCUCGGACGGGCACCUCACCUUCCAGUCUUUCGGGCACCACGCAGGUGUCAUCGAAGUAUAGCCUGGGAUCCUUUUCAUACGGAAAUCCUGGAAGAGUCGAAGGAGAAAGACCACACCGCUUAACAGUCUGCGCUGUACUAAGAACUAUGGAGUUAGGACUAAAGGGGCAUUCUUUACCAUAAAUUAACAACAACUUUACUAUUGUGUGUGCAUGAUGCGUGUGGGGCACACACAACACACGUGGAGGUCAGAGGUGGCUCUCUGGGGUCAGUUCCCCUCUCCUACCUUUCACAAGGGCUCUGGGGACCAAACUCAGGUUGUCAGGGUUUCUCGGUAAGCGCUUUUGCCGGUGGAACCCUCUCACUGGCCCAUUACCUUUCUCUGGUUCCUAAGUCCUACUGUCGUACCCACGCCAGACUGAAUCUUCAGAGACUUCCAAAGGACUCAAGCACUCAAGUUGUGAUGUCACUACCUCGGCUGAAUCAAUCCAUGCUAUCAGGGCUCGGGCUGCAGGAAGCGCCGCUGAGUCACGAAGGUUCCCUCAAAUCUUAGGAAGUUUGCAGGGCCAAACUAACCUGUUUAUUCUGGUCGGCCUAAGUAGCUAGCUUUGUUUCAUGUGUAUAAUGAGUUGUCAUUUUCUUUCAGCUAAUAGUAACUCAGCCUUCCCAGCGGACUUGUCCAAGCUAUCCACACACCUCACGUGCUAUAGCCAAGUAUACAGAGAAGGGAAAGAAGAUGCAGGCCCACAGGAGACUGGGAAGAGCGGCACACUGAAACAAGUUGGAGCACUGUCCCCAGACACAGUGCAAGGUUUUAAAGCCUUCCUCCUGGUAGACUUGUCAUAGAAGGGGAGUCAAGAAAUGGGAACCGAAUGGUCUGAAGACAAACAUCAAGGAUGAAAUAGCUGAGGCACAAAGCAGAGAGGACACGGGAAAAGACGGCCAGAUGUUCUCCACAUGCUGGCCUGCGUGCAGUCCUGACCUCAACAAGAUCUGUGGUUCAAACCCAAGGCGGCUAACAACUCCCUGAUGGGGACCCUGUGCUCUGUACCUCACAGGUAUUACACCUGGUACACAGUCCUUCAUCCCCUGGCUCUUCUCUGGCUUUGUUCCUGGUUGAUUCACCUGGCUGAAGACUACUAGUCUAUGUGUGCUAGAUCUGCAGAGGGGACAGACAGGGAACUCUCUGCGACAUGAAAACCCCACAGGUCAAGGAGCCCGGAUGUGAUCCCUCCCCUGAUAUCCCUGGCUUCUUUGUAAUCAGUUCAGGUGAAGGACUGUCUUGGCAGGCCUGGCACCCUCUUAAGAUGCCAGGGCCUAGGAAAAAAAAAAACAUGGUGCAACAUGUGUUUGAUGUUUAGGUCAUUCACCUUUCUGUUUUUAGCCUCAGGCAUGAUUUUUUUUCUGUUAUUUAAAUCAACAACAUCAUAUAUGGAGAAAUAGCUCAGUGGUUAAGAGCACUGACUGCCAUUCUAGAGGACCCGGGUUUGAUUCCUAGCACCGACAUGGCGGCUCACAACUGUCUGUAACUCUAGUUCCAGAGGAAUCCACUGACAUCUUCUGGCUCUCCUUUCACUGAAUGCACAUGGUGUGUAGCCAUACAUGCAGGCAAAACACCCAUAUACACAAUUUAAGAAAUAAGUAUAUUUUAUUGGCUUUUUUUUCCCUGAUUGAUUCAAUUAAAAUUCUAGGCCACAUAUUUUGCUCAUGUGGGUAGGAGGUAAGAACGCAGCCAUGGACUUUGUUCUUAUGUGUUUACAUCUCAACUUGAAGCAGGAAGCAGAUGGUAAAAGAACAGGCAAUAAAUGAUUAGUAUAGCACUGGAAUUAAAAAAUGCGGGCUCUAGAAUGAGACAGGUUGACCCCAAUUAGCUGUGUGACUCUGAAUACAUGAGUUCCACUGUGUUCAAGUUUCCUCGCUGGUACUGCUAUGAGGAUUGAAUAGUUAAUGUGCUGUCUGUUCUACCAGCCACCGCUCUGUCUUUACAACAGAGUAAGUAUUGUGACAAGCACUGUUAAGAAACUGUAUGAUGCUGUGUCAGGUGUGGUGGCUCAUGCCUUCCACCCCAGCACUCUGAAGGCAGAGGCAGGUGAAUUCCUUUGAGUUCCAGGCAGCCUGGACUACAGAGGGGUAACAGUGAGACUCUGCCUCAAAAACAAACAAGCAUACAAACAACAACCAACCCUGAAUGACAGUACGAGAACUGUCAGCUCGCCACCCCCUGCAUGGAGCCCGAUAUUCUCAGGGAUAAGGGUCCUGUCCUAUGCAUCUUAGUGUUCUCACAGCGCCUUGCCUACAGUUAAGUGUUCCAUCAAUUUUGAAGUACAAGAUCUCCUGACAAUUUAGGCAAAGAAUGUUGACAUACUUUCCUUUAAGGCAUGGUCUCACGUAGCAAAGGUCUACUCUGAACUUGCCAUGUAGCCGAGGAUGCCCUCAGACUCCCGAUCUUCCUGGAACCCUCACCUCCCAAGUGCCUAACACCUGGCAAACUGACUUUUAUGACAAGCUGCUGUACUUCACAUUAUCAGCAAGACGUAAUUCCUCAUGCGUCAUGCUUUUUCCCCUUUAGCUGCCAGGAGGUGAUAUAUUUCCCACCUUCCCUAUGUGUUUUGAUAUUCCAGUGCUGUUUAAAUGGUCUCGUUAUAAAAUCAUUGUAAGCAAACCGCUUGAAAGUUUACACAUCUGUCAAACGUGCCGCGCUGUCCUCUAAGGGAAAAGAUCACUCAUCCACAACCCCGCAAGAAUAAAUUCUUGUUUUGGUUUUCAAAAGCUAAUAAGGAACAUCAUUUGGGAACAUUUUGUGGUUUCCAGUUGUUGCCACACAAGGCACUCUAAGACACCUGGAAGAUGUUUCUGGUUUGAGUGAUAAAGCCAGUUGAGUUUGCAUCUGCAGUUCCUUCAGUUGUGGCCAGAACCACUCAAAUAAAGGCACCGGAAGGAAGAACCUGCUUGACAGGCAGUGGAAAUGAAAGGCUCAAAAUAUCACAUGAGGAUUCCAGACAUCAACUGCCUCUGUAGAAACAUCGAGGAGUCUGGAAGCAGCCCUGCACAGCUGUGUCUGCACAGCCAGCAGUGGUCCAGUAGACAGACAGCCGGCCUGCUCAAGUCUGGACAUUCACUGAGAUUAUCACAGGGUGCACAGCAGGAGAGUAGCACUGGUCUUGCCUAGCCAAGGGGGGAGCCAUCUAGCCAAGAAACCACUCUAGCCAACUAGUCACUUGCUUUUGUUUGUUUUUCCAGGCAGGAUUUCUCUGUGUAGCCCUGGCUGUCCUG